rnacentral:rRNA from 1 species
AACGAACGCUGGCGGCAGGCUUAACACAUGCAAGUCGAACGCCCCGCAAGGGGAGCGGCAGACGGGUGAGUAACGCGUGGGAAUCUACCCAUCUCUACGGAAUAACGCAUGGAAACGUGUGCUAAUACCGUAUACGUCCUUCGGGAGAAAGAUUUAUCGGAGAUGGAUGAGCCCGCGUUGGAUUAGCUAGUUGGUGGGGUAAAGGCCUACCAAGGCGACGAUCCAUAGCUGGUCUGAGAGGAUGAUCAGCCGCACUGGGACUGAGACACGGCCCAGACUCCUACGGGAGGCAGCAGUGGGGAAUAUUGGACAAUGGGCGCAAGCCUGAUCCAGCCAUGCCGCGUGAGUGAUGAAGGCCCUAGGGUUGUAAAGCUCUUUCACCGGUGAAGAUAAUGACGGUAACCGGAGAAGAAGCCCCGGCUAACUUCGUGCCAGCCGCCGCCGUAAAAC